rfam:Lachnospiraceae bacterium 28-4 genomic scaffold acPFn-supercont1.1, whole genome shotgun sequence.
UUGCGUUCAUCAGCUAUUUCACUUAUGAAAUGGAGAAUACCUCAGGGAAAAAUUGCCACGGAGGGCAAUUUUAGGAAACAUAGGGCACGACGCCCGUUGUUUCCGACCCGAUCGGUUUCACAACAUUUAUCCAUUUCAUUAGUGAAAUCUGAUAGAACGCU